GGGGGCGACCUUGGUUUCGACGGGGGUUGCGAAGCAGAUGCGGGCAUACCGGGGUCUCAGAUUCCCGUAAAACACUGAAUUCAAAUAGUCGCAAACGACGAAACUUACGCUUUAGCCGCUUAAGGCUAGCCGUUGCAGCAGUCGGUCAAUGGGCUGUGUGGCGAAAGCCACCGCAACGUCAUCUUACAUUGACUGGUUUCCUGCCGGGUUAU
rnacentral:tmRNA from 1 species